UAGGGACUUCUGUCGUCACUGUGAGUUGUGUCGGGGAGGUGUGCACGAAGGGAGGUUCAGCCAAUCUCAUUGUACACAUGUUGUACUCUGACAAUAAAGGUUGAUUUGAUUGAAUCAAAU